GGGGAAUUUUCCGCAAUGGGCGAAAGCCUGACGGAGCAACGCCGCGUGGGGGAGGAAGGCCUGUGGGUUGUAAACUCCUUUUCUCAGGGAAGAAGGUCUGACGGUACCUGAGGAAUCAGCAUCGGCUAACUCCGUGCCAGCAGCCGCGGUAAUACGGAGGAUGCAAGCGUUAUCCGGAAUUAUUGGGCGUAAAGCGUCCGCAGGUGGCUUAUCAAGUCUGCUGUCAAAGCGCAGGGCUUAACCCUGUAUCGGCAGUGGAAACUGAUAGGCUAGAGUGCGACAGGGGUAGAGGGAAUUCCCAGUGUAGCGGUGAAAUGCGUAGAUAUUGGGAAGAACACCAGUGGCGAAGGCGCUCUACUGGGUCGCAACUGACACUCAUGGACGAAAGCUAGGGGAGCGAAAGGGAUUAGAUA
rnacentral:rRNA from 1 species